UACGGAGGAUCCGAGCGUUAUCCGGAUUUAUUGGGUUUAAAGGGUGCGUAGGCGGUUUGAUAAGUUAGAGGUGAAAUGUCGGGGCUCAACCCCGAAACUGCCUCUAAUACUGUUGGACUAGAGAAUAGUUGCGGUAGGCGGAAUGUAUGGUGUAGCGGUGAAGUGCUUAGAGAUCAUACAGAACACCGAUUGCGAAGGCAGCUUACCAAACUAUAUCUGACGUUGAGGCACGAAAGCGUGGGUAGCAAACAGG
rnacentral:rRNA from 1 species